CAGACAGGGCUGCAAGGAAAUCUGGAGCUGUUCAAUAUCUCGCCUAGUCUGCAUUUUGAGCUACUGGUAUUUGCUGACAGAACUAAUGGCCGAAUUCCUAUCUGUGAGGCCAGGGAGCAUGACGACUGGCAAACAGAGGGAAAGAGAGAGAGAGCUGCAACUUCUUUACACUUAAGGGAAGUUAUCCUUCCUUUUACACCAGCUACAACUGGUUUUGUUUGUGUGUGUGACAGCAACGUGGCUGAUGUAAUGCACCUUAACCGGACUUAAUCUCCUCUUUGUUAGGAAAUCGCUCCUAUCCAACAAAGAUGAGAAGUAGGAGUAAGGCGCUAAUUAAGAGUUCUCUGACUGAUGUCUGCCACACUACCAGAAGGAGAAAGAAAAUCCUGUUAAUGUUACAAAAUGAAAAACAAAACACCUUGAGGGUACCGAAGAGAACUUGAAAUAUAGAAGGCAGUUGUUUGGUUUUAUUUGUAAAAUGAAUCUGUGUUUUACGUCUUUAAAGAAAUGUAGUUCAUUAAAGACUGGAGUAAACACUUUGAAAACACGGUCCUAAGAAUUAGGACUCCUAACCUUUAGCCGGUAAUGUACAUGCUGUAAAGAUGCUUGCACAGUUGUUUUGUUGGAUAUCUCUGCUUCAUUUCAUGAUUAUGAACAGAACAAAUGAAAGUGUACUCCUUCUGUUGUAUAAUUUUAAAUAAAUAAAUCAACCAAUAAACUCAGAAUGAACCCAUGUGUAUUUUCUUUAUGUGUGUUUAUUAACAUUAGAGCUGGUUGGCAGAGUUGAAUCCCGAGCUGCUGCUGGAAUGUUAUAUCUAAAUACUCAAUACAUUCAGUAACUCAUGAACAACCUCGUCAUUGCAAUUCUUUUUGUUAGAGUUAAUGAUGUUUUGUGGGGUCUGGGGUGGGGGAAAUCUUUCCUCCCGAACUGAAAUGAAAAACUUACAAAGACAGACAGAUAUUCAGGGACAUGAGAAUUAAGAAAAAAAGUUAUACAAAAAUCAGUGCACCAAAUCGCUGUAUAAAUGUGUCAAUCUAUUGUUUGAGAGAAGAAGUUAUCAUUCAUUAGUCAUGGUACUCUGUACAUGCGGCUUGUGACAUACAUUAGUCACACACAAAGACUUGUUGUUUAUAAUGCUUACGUGCCAAUCUAUCAUUAAAACGCAGCAAUGCAGUGAAGUUACUGAAAAUGACAAGUGCCUUGCCUGUCCAGUACAUCGUGACCCACUUGCAAAGAGUGUGAUGAGGACGUGUA